rnacentral:rRNA from 1 species
CAAUCUGCCUUGGAGUGGGAAUAACGGCUGGAAACAGCCGCUAAUACCGCAUGAUACAGCUGGGAGGCAUCUCCCUGGCUGUCAAAGAUUUAUCGCUCUGAGAUGAGCUCGCGUCUGAUUAGCUAGUUGGCGGGGUAACGGCCCACCAAGGCGACGAUCAGUAGCCGGACUGAGAGGUUGGCCGGCCACAUUGGGACUGAGACACGGCCCAGACUCCUACGGAAGGCAGCAG